rnacentral:rRNA from 1 species
CAAAGCAGUGAUGUGGAGCAAAACCCGAAAAGCAGUCUUAGUUCGGAUUGUAGGCUGCAACUCGCCUACAUGAAGUCGGAAUUGCUAGUAAUCGCGGAUCAGCAUGCCGCGGUGAAUACGUUCCCGGGCCUUGUACACACCGCCCGUCACACCAUGGGAGUCGGUAACACCCGAAGCCUGUAGUCUAACCGCAAGGAGGACGCGGCCGAAGGUGGGUUUGGUAAUUGGGGUGAAGUCGUAACAAGGUAGC